rnacentral:rRNA from 1 species
AUUGAACGCUGGCGGCAGGCCUAACACAUGCAAGUCGAACGGCAGCACAGAGAGCUUGCUCUCGGGUGGCGAGUGGCGGACGGGUGAGUAAUGUCUGGGGAUCUGCCCGGUAGAGGGGGAUAACCACUGGAAACGGUGGCUAAUACCGCAUAACGUCGCAAGACCAAAGAGGGGGACCUUCGGGCCUCUCACUAUCGGAUGAACCCAGAUGGGAUUAGCUAGUAGGUGGGGUAACGGCUCACCUAGGCGACGAUCCCUAGCUGGUCUGAGAGGAUGACCAGCCACACUGGAACUGAGACACGGUCCAGACUCCUACGGGAGGCAGCAGUGGGGAAUAUUGCACAAUGGGCGCAAGCCUGAUGCAGCCAUGCCGCGUGUAUGAAGAAGGCCUUCGGGUUGUAAAGUACUUUCAGCGGGGAGGAAGGGAUGAAGCUUAAUACGCUUCGUCAUUGACGUUACCCGCAGAAGAAGCACCGGCUAACUCCGU